GACGGACGCUGGCGGCGUGCCUAAUACAUGCAAGUUGAGCGCUGAAGGUUGGUACUUGUACCCACUGGAUGAGCAGCGAACGGGUGAGUAACGCGUGGGUAAUCUGCCUUUGAGCGGGGGACAACAUUUGGAAACGAAUGCUAAUACCGCAUAAAAACUUUAAACACAAGUUUUAAGUUUGAAAGAUGCAAUUGCAUCACUCAAAGAUGAUCCCGCGUUGUAUUAGCUAGUUGGUGAGGUAAAGGCUCACCAAGGCGAUGAUACAUAGCCGACCUGAGAGGGUGAUCGGCCACAUUGGGACUGAGACGCGGCCCAAACUCCUACGGGAGGCAGCAGUAGGGGAUCUUCGGCCAUGGACGAAAGUCUGACCGAGCAACGCCGCGUGAGUGAAGAAGGUUGUCGGAUCGUAAAACUCUGUUGGUAGAGAAGAACGUUGGUGAGAGUGGAAAGCUCAUCAAGUGACGGUAACUACCCAGAAAGGGACGGCUAACUACGUG
rnacentral:rRNA from 1 species